AAACCAUCAAGCCCAGCUUGGUCUUGGACGCGGUCGAGUGACCCGUCCGCAACCCGUUGGCGGUGCAGUCCGGCUUCAAGCGUAGCAAAAAUUUCGCUUCAGGAGUCCGCGGCGGCGCCCGCCAGGUAAUCACAUCCCAAA
rnacentral:misc_RNA from 1 species